CUGGUAUUGAUUGGUGCUUGCAUCAUGAUUUACAUUUGAGUGAGUGGCGAACUGGUGAGUAACACGUGGGAAACCUGCCCAGAAGCGGGGGAUAACACCUGGAAACAGAUGCUAAUACCGCAUAACAACUUGGACCGCAUGGUCCGAGUUUGAAAGAUGGCUUCGGCUAUCACUUUUGGAUGGUCCCGCGGCGUAUUAGCUAGAUGGUGGGGUAACGGCUCACCAUGGCAAUGAUACGUAGCCGACCUGAGAGGGUAAUCGGCCACAUUGGGACUGAGACACGGCCCAAACUCCUACGGGAGGCAGCAGUAGGGAAUCUUCCACAAUGGACGAAAGUCUGAUGGAGCAACGCCGCGUGAGUGAAGAAGGGUUUCGGCUCGUAAAACUCUGUUGUUAAAGAAGAACAUAUCUGAGAGUAACUGUUCAGGUAUUGACGGUAUUUAACCAGAAAGCCACGGCUAACUACGUGCCAGCAGCCGCGGUAAUACGUAGGUGGCAAGCGUUGUCCGGAUUUAUUGGGCGUAAAGCGAGCGCAGGCGGUUUUUUAAGUCUGAUGUGAAAGCCUUCGGCUCAACCGAAGAAGUGCAUCGGAAACUGGGAAACUUGAGUGCAGAAGAGGACAGUGGAACUCCAUGUGUAGCGGUGAAAUGCGUAGAUAUAUGGAAGAACACCAGUGGCGAAGGCGGCUGUCUGGUCUGUAACUGACGCUGAGGCUCGAAAGUAUGGGUAGCAAACAGGAUUAGAUACCCUGGUAGUCCAUACCGUAAACGAUGAAUGCUAAGUGUUGGAGGGUUUCCGCCCUUCAGUGCUGCAGCUAACGCAUUAAGCAUUCCGCCUGGGGAGUACGGCCGCAAGGCUGAAACUCAAAGGAAUUGACGGGGGCCCGCACAAGCGGUGGAGCAUGUGGUUUAAUUCGAAGCUACGCGAAGAACCUUACCAGGUCUUGACAUACUAUGCAAAUCUAAGAGAUUAGACGUUCCCUUCGGGGACAUGGAUACAGGUGGUGCAUGGUUGUCGUCAGCUCGUGUCGUGAGAUGUUGGGUUAAGUCCCGCAACGAGCGCAACCCUUAUUAUCAGUUGCCAGCAUUAAGUUGGGCACUCUGGUGAGACUGCCGGUGACAAACCGGAGGAAGGUGGGGAUGACGUCAAAUCAUCAUGCCCCUUAUGACCUGGGCUACACACGUGCUACAAUGGAUGGUACAACGAGUUGCGAACUCGCGAGAGUAAGCUAAUCUCUUAAAGCCAUUCUCAGUUCGGAUUGUAGGCUGCAACUCGCCUACAUGAAGUCGGAAUCGCUAGUAAUCGCGGAUC
rnacentral:rRNA from 2 species